rnacentral:rRNA from 1 species
GCAAGUCGAACGGUAGAGUAGCAAUACUUGAGAGUGGCGAACGGGUGAGUAAUAUAUCGGAACGUGCCCAGUCGUGGGGGAUAACGUAAAGAAAUUUACGCUAAUACCGCAUACGAUCUAAGGAUGAAAGCGGGGGACUCGCAAGAGCCUCGCGCGAUUGGAGCGGCUGAUAUCAAAUUAGGUUGUUGGUGAGGUAAAAGCUCACCAAGCCGACAAUCUGUAGCUGGUUUGAGAGAACGACCAGCCACACUGGGACUGAGACACGGCCCAAACUCCUACGGGAGGCAGCAGUGGGGAAUUUUGGACAAUGGGCGAAAGCCUGAUCCAGCAAUGCCGCGUGUGGAAAGAAGGCCUUCGGGUUGUAAACCACUUUUGUACGGAACGAAACGGUCUGCCCUAAUACGGUGGGCUAAUGACGGUACCGUAAGAAUAAGCACCGGCUAACUACGUGCCAGCAGCCGCGGUAAUACGUAGGGUGCGAGCGUUAAUCGGAAUUACUGGGCGUAAAGCGUGCGCAGGCGGUUAUAUAAGACAGUUGUGAAAUCCCCGGGCUCAACCUGGGAAUUGCAUCUGUGACUGUAUAGCUAGAGUACGGUAGAGGGGGAUGGAAUUCCGCGUGUAGCAGUGAAAUGCGUAGAUAUGCGGAGGAACACCGAUGGC